CAGUAGCCGCGGGAAAACGAGGGGUGCAAGCGUUAUUCGGAUUGAUUGGGUGUAAAGGGUGUGCAGACGGCUUAUUAAGUCACUUGUUAAAUUCUUCGGCCUAACUGAAGGUCUGCAAGUGAUACUGAUGAGCUAGAGGGUGGAAGAGAGAAGUGGAAUUCUCGGAGUAGCGGUAAAAUGCGUAGAUCUCGAGAGGAACACCAAUGGCGAAGGCAGCUUCUUGGUCCAUUCCUGACGUUCAUACACGAAAGCGUGGGGAGCGAACGGGAUUAGAUACCCCCGUAGUCCCUGUCUCUUAUAC
rnacentral:rRNA from 1 species